UUUAACCAUAAUAUUCAUGACAUAUAAACCAAAUUUUAGAGAUGAGAAAUAAGCUCAAAGACAAUUAUAAAAAGGAAAUUUGAUUUUACAAAGAUCAAAUAGAUAAAAGUAAUCCUCACAUUUAAAAAAAUUCACGCAUCACACAUCCCCUGAAUCACCCACCUCAGUUCCUCCAGGGCUCUUAUAUUAGACAACAGCUUCCUCUUCUUAAAAGCAACUGCCAUCCAUUAGACUCAAAGGAGUCCAGAGCUUUUAAUACUUCAGCUAUAUUACAAGUUUUAAAAGGCAGUUGUGUACAUGUACGGGAACAAGGGGUAUAUAGGAACUUUGUACUUUCCACUCAAUUUUUCUGUGAACCUAAACUGCUCUUUAAAAAAAUGAAGAAAAGUUUUUAAAA